UACAGAGGGUGCGAGCGUUAAUCGGAAUUACUGGGCGUAAAGCGCACGUAGGUGGCUGUGUAAGUCGGGUGUGAAAUCCCCGGGCUCAACCUGGGAACUGCAUUCGAGACUGCAUAGCUGGAGUACGGAAGAGGAGGGCGGAAUUCCCGGUGUAGCGGUGAAAUGCGUAGAUAUCGGGAGGAACAUCAGUGGCGAAGGCGGCCAUCUGGGACAACACUGACGCUGAAGCACGAAAGCGUGGGGAGCAAACAGG
rnacentral:rRNA from 1 species